CCAGGGGGCCGGGCAGCCGCUCCUUCGACAAGCUCAGGAUGAGCGGGUUGUUAGGAGAGGAAAGUCCGGGCUCCACGAAGCAAGGGUGGCGGGUAACACCCGCCCGGUGACCCCGGAUUACGUCCGGGGGAGCCGAGGGACAGUGCCACAGAGAGCAGACCGCCUGAUCCGUCAGGCAAGGGUGAAAGGGUGCGGUAAGAGCGCACCGGGGGGCUGGCGACAGUCUCCGCAUGGCAAACCCCACCCGGAGCAAGGCCAAAUAGGGACCUCGCGCCGAAAGGCAGGAACGCUUCGUUCCGAGAGGUCCGGGUUGGCUGCUUGAGCGCGCGAGCAAUCGCUCGCCCAGAUGAAUGGCUGCCCCUGCAUCAGCAGGACAGAACCCGGCUUACAGGCCCCCUGGCACU
rnacentral:RNase_P_RNA from 2 species